CCUACGGGGCGCACCAGUGGGGAAUAUUGGACAAUGGGCGAAUGCCUGAUCCAGCAAUGCCGCGUGUGUGAAGAAGGUCUUCGGAUUGUAAAGCACUUUCGACGGGGACGAUGAUGACGGUACCCGUAGAAGAAGCCCCGGCUAACUUCGUGCCAGCAGCCGCGGUAAUACGAAGGGGGCUAGCGUUGCUCGGAAUGACUGGGCGUAAAGGGCGCGUAGGCGGUUUAUGCAGUCAGAUGUGAAAUCCCCGGGCUUAACCUGGGAACUGCAUUUGAGACGCAUAGACUAGAGGUCGAGAGGGUUGUGGAAUUCCCAGUGUAGAGGUGAAAUUCGUAGAUAUUGGGAAGAACACCGAUGGCGAAGGCGGCAACCUGGCUCGAUACUGACGCUGAGGCGCGAAAGCGUGGGGAGCAAACAGGAUUAGAUACCCUCGUAGUC
rnacentral:rRNA from 1 species